CUGCAGCCAAUUAAGCCAACCCUGCUCCUUUCCUCAUGGGUGCUUGGUGUGCAAUAGCUGCAAACAGCAGCCUCCUUGGUAGUGUGUGCAGCCUGCUGCUAGCAUGGGACCUUGGAGACAGUC
rnacentral:snoRNA from 1 species